ACCGCAUAAGCGCACGGUUCCGCAUGGAACAGUGUGAAAAACUCCGGUGGUAUACGAUGGAUCCGCGUCUGAUUAGCCAGUUGGCGGGGUAACGGCCCACCAAAGCGACGAUCAGUAGCCGGCCUGAGAGGGUGAACGGCCACAUUGGGACUGAGACACGGCCCAAACUCCUACGGGAGGCAGCAGUGGGGAAUAUUGCACAAUGGGGGAAACCCUGAUGCAGCGACGCCGCGUGAGUGAAGAAGUAUCUCGGUACGUAAAGCUCUAUCAGCAGGGAAGAAAAUGACGGUACCUGACUAAGAAGCCCCGGCUAACUACGUGCCAGCAGCCGCGGUAAUACGUAGGGGGCAAGCGUUAUCCGGAUUUACUGGGUGUAAAGGGAGCGUAGACGGCAGCGCAAGUCUGGAGUGAAAUGCCGGGGCCCAACCCCGGAACUGCUUUGGAAACUGUGCAGCUCGAGUGCAGGAGAGGUAAGCGGAAUUCCUAGUGUAGCGGUGAAAUGCGUAGAUAUUAGGAGGAACACCAGUGGCGAAGGCGGCUUACUGGACUGUAACUGACGUUGAGGCUCGAAAGCGUGGGGAGCAAACAGGAUUAGAUACCCUGGUAGUCCACGCCGUAAACGAUGAUUACUAGGUGUCGGGGGGCCAAGGCCCUCCGGUGCCGCCGCAAACG
rnacentral:rRNA from 1 species